CUUGCUCACAAUAUCAUCAUCUUUAUUCUCCCCUCUAUACUGAUGCUACAACAUCGGUUCAGUAUAGUCAACAAAAAGACAUGGAGGACAGUAGAGACACUAUGAUCAGAUACCUGAACAGAAUCAUUCUACUGAUUAUCUGGCUCUCCUGUGGUUCACUUGGCAUUGAAGUCCAUCAGGAUCCAUCAUCAAUAAUAGGAAAACCUCAUAAUUCUGCAACAAUCAGCUGCCGUCAUUCAGACAGUUCAUACUAUGUAAUACUGUGGUACCAACAGCCAGUUGGUGACUCUGCUCUUAAACUCAUUGGAUAUAUUCAGUACACUAACCCAACCCCAGAGGAUCAAUUUAAACAGCAUUUCAAUGUGACUGGAGACGGCUCAUCAGAAUCUCAACUUCAUGUGCUGAAGCUCAGACAGCCACAAGAUAGUGGCAUGUAUUAUUGUGCAGCUAGUAGGCACAGUGACUCACUUAGCAAUUCACCUCUACAAAAACCUUCUGAUAUUCCACCACAUAAAUUUACAAUGAAGACUACACCUGCAUCCAGCUAUCACCCAUCCAUGUGA
rnacentral:lncRNA from 1 species